rnacentral:rRNA from 1 species
CGCAAUGGACGAAAGUCUGACGGAGCAACGCCGCGUGAACGAUGACGGCCUUCGGGUUGUAAAGUUCUGUUAUACGGGACGAAUGGUACGACGGUCAAUACCCGUCGUAAGUGACGGUACCGUAAGAGAAAGCCACGGCUAACUACGUGCCAGCAG